GCAGUUGAGAGCGGAGUAAAACUCUAUCAUUUGAGAAAAUAGACAAACCGACAGGUUUAAGUUCCACCCAAAAGUCUGAAUAGCCUGGAAAAUGUCAAUUCUUAUACUCCCUCCGUCCGGAAAUAUUUGUCAUCAAAAUGGAUAAAAGAAGAUGUAUUUAGACAUAUUUUAGUUCUAGAUUCUUCCCUUUUUAUCUAUGUUGAUGACAAGUAUUUUCGGACGGAGGGAGUACAAAUCAAAAGACAAUCAACCCCAGCAACGACUACUGAGCAAUGUUCACAUGGCACUUUGCUUUUGUAUCUCCACGAGCCACGACCGAUGAAAAGUCAAGUCGUACGAUCUUUGCAUCGCAGGCUCAGAGCAAUCUGUAGGCGAAGCCGGAUGGAUCCAGCAUGCAUGCAUGCACCAGAGCGUGCUAGCUACUGUCGGUCCGGUCCGAAUCAAUGUUUGUACCCGGCCGUCUCAAGAAGAAGAGCUGGAGGAGUCGAACGUCGAGACCCUCCGGCGUUUGCUGGCCAGGAGCGAGUCCCUCGGCGAGAACUCGAAGGCGGCGGCGGCGCUGGCGACCCUGUCGAGCACCGAGUCGAGCGCCCGGCGGACCGAGGCCGCCGUCACGGCGCCCUCGCGCAACAUGGCGACGGUGAUCCGGACGCGCCCGCCCAGCGUGGUGACCUCCGAGCCGACGACCCUCGGCGCGAGCGGCUGCAGCGCGCGCCUCACGUCGGCGAAGAGGUCCGCGCAGCCGUCGCCGCAGCUGAGCGUCGCCUUGACGAGGAAGGCGGCGCCGGCGCGGCUGUGUUGGGGGGAUUCUUGCGGUUGCUGGACGACCUCCACGGUGACCUCGUCGGCGCCGGACGGGACGGGGCAGUGCCUGCCCACCCGCGCCGCCUCGCUCUUGAGCUUCUUAACGUGGUUUAUCACCUCCGCGAGCAGCGCCGCCUUGUCCAUCUGCACAAGCCAAGUAUAUCGACAGAUCAGGUUUUUGGUGCAUCUGCCUGGUCCGGUUCCUGAACGUAACCAUGCAUGUACACGUAGCAGCAGGAAGCUGCAAUGCCGCGGCUCCACCCGGCUCCCGUGGUUGCCUCCAUUGCCGCGCCUCACACGGUCACACCUCGGCCACCCAUGGCGGCGUCUGAUCGCCACGCAAAGGCCCAUGUUCCAACCGGGCCCAAGCUUAGAUAUACUGUCUAAAUAUCGUCACUUCUAUGGGCCGCCCAAAUAUCGUCACUUCUAUUAUAUUCGAAAUAUUGCUAUUUAAUAAAAAAAUUACAAAAAAAAUUCUAAAAAAUGUUCAUGUAUUCAAAAUAUUUGUUUACUAGAUUUUUUUUCCAAAAAAUGUUAUGGACAUAAUUCUUCACACUUUUAGCAAUAAAAUUCAGGCAUGAAAAAAAAACAAGUAAAAAUAAAAAGAAAACCAAAAAAGGGAAAUGGAAACAAAAGCCAGCGAAGUGACAGAGAAAAGAAAGGGACAUGCCUAAUAAGGCAAGGGGCAUGCGAUUUGUGACCCUAUCUUAGGCGAUAGGCGUAGAAUAAGAUUUGCCGCAAGGCAAUGAGCCAUGUUGUCCUCAGAAGAAGGUAAAAAAGAGCAAUGGACAUGCCAGAUAUGUCCAUAUAUUUGCCGACCGAAGUGCCAUUGUUGCAUUUGUGAGUUCGUGACUGCGCCUGGCUGGCUCAUACAUAUGCACCGCCGCUUGCCCAACAUGGAGUUGUCACGAGGAAGCUGCCCAAGUCUAUGGCGAACAAUUCACAACUUCCAUGCGAGUACAGAUUCCACACCACGACGACAGGUUGCACUCAGACUGGUAGCCACACCAUCAUCAGGUUUUUCGGCACUGCCUAUAACGAUUCUUCCAUGAGGAGUUGCCAUAUAUCUAGACCAACCUAAUAGCUGGCAUGUACAACACUAAGUUCUUGUUUGGAAUCUCCUCACUCCGCUCCACUCCAUGAAGCCGCGGAGCUCGGUUUGAGCUGCUCCGUAAAAGCUGCAGCACCUUGCUCCGUUCCGGGAGCCGAGUCGCUUGAGCGGAGAGAAACCGAACAAGCACUAAGUUUUAAAUGUAUAUUAUUCUAUUAAUAGUUGGCCCAUCUUAUAAUCUCACAUAUUCUCUUUUCUCCUUUCCAACUAACAAAUAUAUACUCCCUUCGUAAAGAAAUAUAAAAGCGUUUAGACAAUUAUUUUAGUGAUCUAAACGUUCUUAUAUUUGUUUACAGAGGGAGUAAUAUUUAAGUUCUUAAAGUCAACUUAUUGUACUUGCUCUUAGGUGAAAACCGAGGUUCCGAUAAUGAUGGCAUUUACGGGCAUCCUUCACUCUUUCAUAUAUGUUUGUAUUGAGCUUCUCGUGAUGCUUCCACUUUGUUACUUCCUUGGUGUAAAAAUUCAUGAGACAGUUUUGACAAUUUAGAUGGAGGUCGUGAGGGUGUCUUUUUCGAGUUUUGAAUCCUCGAUUCUUCAUCGGCAAUAAAGAACUUGUUGGGGAUGCACAUGGAGAGCUAAUGGGCGGGAGGUGGAUUUUUUCUAGGACGACAAUAGUGAUCGUCAAGCCCACUAGGUUUGAUUGCCAACCAUGCCCUGCUUCUCUUGGGAUGACUGAUUACUCGAUCUUUGGCCGCCCACUCACAACUAAGUUUCGGGACUGACUGGUUGUCCCUUCCGUGGGCUCCUUGGCGACGCAUCCCCCGCCACUCACCCUUCUAUGCUGCUCGCACCUGUGAAAGCAUAUAACGCCCCCGAGCUAACUACCAGGUAUAAUACCACCAUGUCUGGCUACUACUAGCCUUUUCGGCACAAUUGUGCCAACAUCCAAGUCAUUCACCCAUCCUCAAAUUACCUCAGGCUAAACACGCUUAACCUGGAGGUUCUUUCGAGAUGAGCUUCCGAAAAAAAAGAUGCACCAUAUGUUGAUAUGAGUAUUCUAUUAACCCGAUGUUAUAAAACAUUGGAAUGGGGUGGUAUUCCGCAGGCAAGAAGAUGAACUGUAUUGAUCUCAGUAUUCCAUUAACCCUGAUGUUAUAAAACAUCAGGGUGGUAUUCCACGGGCUCGCGGCCUCCCUAUCCCUUACGCUCAAGUGCUGCCGGGGCGACAGCGCUAUUGGUGUGUGUUCACUACGUAGUAUGUAUGCUCCAUGACUUGUCAUCUGUUAUUCCAGACCGAAUUUAUCAUUUUGCAUCAUCUUGACGCUUUAAUAACAUCAUUUUCUGAAGAAAAAAAUAGCGUGACGUGCGUAACUAUUGUUUUUUAUUGGUUCCCCCUGGACUAUUCCAAAACUCGCGUAUUGCAACGGUGGAAUAAUUCACUGGGAGAAGAAGAAAGAAAGAAAGAUACAGAAAUUAGCGACUCAACGAGGAGGAGAAGGCACUGACCUUGCCGGUGCAGGGGACCAUGCUCCGGAGCGUGGCGAGGUGCGCGUUGAUCCUCUCCCUCCGCCGCCGCUCCGCUUCGCUGUGGCUCCUAAGGGCCGUCGCCGCUUUCUCCUCCCGCGCUCCCCCCUUCCUCUUCGGCACGUCCGCGGCGGCGGCUGCGGCCAGCUCCCCCGUCCCGCCAUCCAGCAGGACCGACGACGACGUCGACGCUCCCAGAUGCUGGCCAAAGCCAUGUUCAUGUCCAUGCCCGCCGCCGAAACCACCGUAAAACCCAUCGUAGAGCCCCACCGCGCCGCUGAAGGGGCCAGAGUUCAUCUCGUCCCACAAGGCCAAAGGACGUGAGAUCGAGAGCGUACUGGAUGAAGCUUAGAGAGAAACCGUCGAGGUGAAAUGCGCAGCUGGGUCAGAAUAUGGUUUCUUGAACUGCCACGGGGGAGACAAGCUUGACGCCUGCGAAACAAGGAUUUUUACAGGCACCAGGGCCAAGAACCGAGUAUACUUGUUGUCCCGAAUGUCACAGAUCUUCGCGACAACGACAAGACAGGAGCAGGAGGCUGCAAAGCAAGAACGCCCCAGUUUCCCAAGAAUAUAUUGACCUGUGUAACUGCGAGCGCAGACAACGGAGGCCAACAGGAAGGAAACAACAGCGAGACCGACGGCCUGGUUCCCAAGAACACGGUGGUCCAGACAGGUCAAAAAAGACCUUCUCCCAAGGUCAAUCGCCUCAGAAAUGGCGAGACCCUUGGGGAGCAAAGCCGUGUCGUUGCGCCGCAGGAGGACAGGAUCAGACACAAGAAGGAGAAGGGCACAAGGAUCGUAGCUUGCUCCCUCAGACUACGAGUCGUAGGAACACAAAUCAAAGAGGCAAAUCGAGAGAGAGGAGUAAGCAGAAGACAAGAACACAGAGCAGGCUCAGCUCAGGUGCCCGGAGGCCGGUUGGGAGGGCAGGACCAUGAGGGGAGCUCGACGCGCCGUAGCUUCCUCUGCUCGGACUCCACCCUGCUCCCGCCGGCGUCGGUCCUCGGCGUGCCGCCAUGCGCUUCCAUCAUCGCCAUCGAUGGACUUCCGCUCGAGGGCUAGCACGGCUAGAUCAACUUGGAACUCCUCUGCUGUAUGAACGGGAUCAUCCUCUCACGCAGGUGGAAGCAAUAUGUAUCUGCGUUUCCUCUCACUUUCUUGGCGAUAGGCCGUUUGGAUUGUGGGUUUCUUCCUCUUAAAAUUCUGCGAGGAGAGGGAGGAGAACGGUGGCGGUAGGUAAGCUCUUUGGAUUGGGAUUUCUUCCUCCGAAAAUUCGAGGAAGGAAGGAGAAGAAGAGUGUUUCUUUUCUAGGGAUGCGGAGGAGCUUCGAGGAAGAAGAAACACCCGUUGUCUUUCAAGGAUGGAGAGCUUGUUAUUUAGUAUACUACGUCUGAUUCGUUGUUGUUUUCUAAAUUUGACACACAGGAUAAGGACGUGCCGUGCAAAUUCUAC
rnacentral:rRNA from 1 species